UUGACAGUCUUGGACACUGCUGUCUCCCGUUAAUCCACAAACAAAAGAACUGCUGGGGCAGUGGCUUCACCAUCCUAAUCUGGAGGGAAAACCACUUUCAGAAUGAAGGCUAGUUCAGUCUCCACACAUUCAAAUCCUUGGCCUCG
rnacentral:sRNA from 1 species